GACGAACGCUGGCGGCGUGCUUAACACAUGCAAGUCGAACGGAAAGGCCUGCUUUCCCUUGUGGAUUGCGGGUACUCGAGUGGCGAACGGGUGAGUAACACGUGAGUGAUCUGCCCCCAACUUGGGUAUAAGCCUGGGAAACUGGGUCUAAUUCCCGAUAGGACUGCAGGGUGGUGCCUGUGGUGGAAAACGAUUUUCUAGUGGUUGGGGAUGAGCUCGCGGCCUAUCAGCUUGUUGGUGGGGUAAUGGCCUACCAAGGCGGCGACGGGUAGCCGGCCUGGGAGGGUGGACGGCCACAUUGGGACUGAGAUACGGCCCAGACUCCUACGGGAGGCAGCAGUGGGGAAUAUUACACAAUGGGCGGAAGCCUGAUGCAGCGACGCCGCGUGGGGGAUGACGGCCUUCGGGUUGUAAACUCCUUUCGACCGCGAGGAAGCCACCUGGUUGGAAGGGUGGUGACGGUAGUGGUAGAAGAAGCACCGGCUAACUACGUG
rnacentral:rRNA from 1 species